CCUACGGGGGGCAGCAGUGGGGAAUAUUGGACAAUGGGGGGAACCCUGAUCCAGCCAUGCCGCGUGUGUGAAGAAGGCCCUCGGGUUGUAAAGCACUUUCAGUGAGGAAGAACGCCUGGUGGUUAAUACCCAUCAGGAAAGACAUCACUCACAGAAGAAGCACCGGCUAACUCCGUGCCAGCAGCCGCGGUAAUACGGAGGGUGCGAGCGUUAAUCGGAAUUACUGGGCGUAAAGCGCGCUUAGGUGGCUUGAUAAGCCGGUUGUGAAAGCCCCGGGCUCAACCUGGGAACGGCAUCCGGAACUGUCAAGCUAGAGUGCAGGAGAGGAAGGUAGAAUUCCCGGUGUAGCGGUGAAAUGCGUAGAGAUCGGGAGGAAUACCAGUGGCGAAGGCGGCCUUCUGGACUGACACUGACACUGAGGUGCGAAAGCGUGGGUAGCAAACAGGAUUAGAUACCCUGGUAGUC
rnacentral:rRNA from 1 species